UGCUAGGCUUGACCGGGACGUUCGGCACGCCCUUAUACACCGUAAACUGUCGAUAACGGGGGUGACAACGGAGGACGGCGUAACCUGAGAGAAACGAGCCCAGCCUUCGACAAUGAAGUCUUGUCCUAUGGAGUUGGAAGCUGUCUGCGGGGGCAGUUGGAGAGCGGCCCCCCUUACACUGAUCAUGGGGAACGGGCCAGGCCCUGACGGGAGCAGCCUUACCAUGGAUUACUAACGUUCAGGGGGUUGCAGGGCUGAGAAGAAGGUUGGAUCACUCGCAACGAUUGGGGCAUCAACCUUCGCGGCCUAGCG
rnacentral:SRP_RNA from 2 species